AGUCAUCAGGACUGAAUCUGUAGGAUACAGGUUGACCGGGAUUAAUCCAAUCAUGAUUUGAACAAAUUGGGUGGGAGUCGGCACAGUCAAGGUGCUUGAGGUAUUCUUGCUUACGGUCACCAUUGAGCUUGUCCCAGAAAGCUCAGAUAAGAUUGCCUCAAUAGACUGCCUAUUUGCUUCUUUCUUCCGCAAAGCACGUGCAGCCCUCUUUCUUGCAUUUCGGAGAGCAUUCUUGGACGGUGUUUUCUUCAUUUGGGUCUUGACGACCUUAGGAGUGACCUGAGUCCUGGGCCCCCUAUGAAUGGGCUUUGAAACGACGCACUUGAUGAGGCUCUCAGUAAUAACGAAAGUCUUCCUGAAGCCUACUUGUUUGGUGCACGCAUUCCUAGUAGUUUUGAUCUUGUGGAAGAAAAUUGUAACUUGUGGUGCC
rnacentral:lncRNA from 1 species